GCCGGGCGCGGUGGCUCACGCCUGUAAUCCCAGCACUUUGGGAGGCCGAGGCGGGCGGAUCACGAGGUCAGGAGAUCGAGACCAUCCUGGACAACAAGGCAAGACCUCAUCUCUACCCAAAUUUAAAAAUUAGGGCCGGGCGCGGUGGCUCACGCCUGUAAUCCCAGCACUUUGGGAGGCNNNNNNNNNNACCGCGCCCGGCCCUAAUUUUUAAAUUUGGGUAGAGAUGAGGUCUUGCCUUGUUGUCCAGGAUGGUCUCGAUCUCCUGACCUCGUGAUCCGCCCGCCUCGG
rnacentral:SRP_RNA from 1 species